UACGAAGGGUGCAAACGUUGCUCGGAAUUAUUGGGCGUAAAGCGCACGUAGGCGGCUUAGCAAGUCGGAAGUGAAAUCCCUCGGCUCAACCAAGGAAGUGCUUUCGAAACUGCUGAGCUUGAGUACUAAAGAGGAUCGCGGAAUUCCCGGUGUAGAGGUGAAAUUCGUAGAUAUCGGGAGGAACACCAGUGGCGAAGGCGGCGAUCUGGGUAGAUACUGACGCUGAGGUGCGAAAGCGUGGGGAGCAAACAGG
rnacentral:rRNA from 1 species